rnacentral:rRNA from 2 species
UACGAAGGGUGCAAGCGUUACUCGGAAUUACUGGGCGUAAAGCGUGCGUAGGUGGUGGUUUAAGUCUGCUGUGAAAGCCCUGGGCUCAACCUGGGAAUUGCAGUGGAUACUGGAUCACUAGAGUGUGGUAGAGGGAUGCGGAAUUUCUGGUGUAGCAGUGAAAUGCGUAGAGAUCAGAAGGAACAUCCGUGGCGAAGGCGGCAUCCUGGGCCAACACUGACACUGAGGCACGAAAGCGUGGGGAGCAAAC